UCCGGAGGGGGCGAGCGUUAUUCGGAAUUAUUGGGCGUAAAGGGCGCGUAGGCGGCUGUGUAAGUCAAAGGUGAAAUCCCUCAGCUCAACUGAGGAACUGCCUUUGAAACUGCAUAGCUUGAGGCCGGGAGGGGGUGGCGGAAUUCCCAGUGUAGCGGUGAAAUGCGUAGAUAUUGGGAGGAACACCAGUGGCGAAGGCGGCCACCUGGACCGGUUCUGACGCUGAUGCGCGAAAGCGUGGGUAGCAAACAGG
rnacentral:rRNA from 1 species